GCCGCCAUUUCCCGCCACGCCGCUCCCCCGGCCCCAGUCCCUGCCCAGGCCGCCUCCGCCGCGCCGCCAGGAGGAGGUCAUUACUGAAACUGUACUGUGGUGGUCCCUUGCAUUGAAAGCUUCUCUCAUAAGAUGCAUCUCCUGUGCUGUGACAGUUAAAGGUACGUGAAGGUAUUGCAGUUUACCAACAUCCCACUUAUGUACCUUAGGGGUAUAUAGUGUGUAUGUAGAUACAUACACACUGCACGCAAGCACACACUAUAUAUAGCAAAUAUAGUACAUUAGGUUCUAUAAGGGUACAUAUAUACAUACUAUACACAUACACUGUUAUUUAUAGUGCUGUAUCACUGUAUAUAUAGUAUAUACUAUAUAUAGUACUAAGCAUAUAUAAAGCACAAUAUACUAUAUUAGUACUAAACCUUAUGAUCUGUUCUCCCAGUCCGUAUUUUGUCUUGUUGUAGAAAAAUGUUUGUUGUGCUAUGUGAAUGAGAAUACUUGUUUAAUAAAUGCAGGUUGAGUUCACAUCUUGGACAUGCUCUGAAGGGUCUAGUGGCAUAUUCUGGUUCUAGUCCUGGAAGUUUCCUGGCCACAACAAACACUGGCCUAGCACAUAUCCAGCUAACCCUUAUCUUCAGGCUUUGUUGCAUUAAAAGGCCUCUCAGCAAAGGCGAACAAAGGAUCCUGUGAGGGCUGACAUCUUAAAAACGGAGAUAAACUAUGUUUUCUCUGUUGGGUUUGGUGGUUUUUCCCCCUGCGUAUUUUUGGCUUUUCUGUGGGUUUUUUUGGUGGACUUGAAGCUGUACCCUGCAAUUGUGUUACUGACUGUCAGUAUCAAUCUUUCACUGCCAAAUAGAGAUAGGUAUAUGAAGUCCUUGACCAAUUUUGGGGGAUGUAUCCCUCUCCCCUACUUACUCAAACACUCAUCUGGCUGUAUUUAGGAAAAUUUUUAUGAGGCUGGUUGCAUUGAAGGUCCCCUGGGCAGUGUGAGUGCAAGCAUGGAGUGAGGAGAGGGCAGCUUGCCUUGCUGGGAGCUGACACUUGGAGCUCUGCCAGGCUCCAGGCUCUGCCUGACCCUGAGCAGUGCUGGCAGCCGCAGCAAGUAGCAGAGAGCCUGCGAGCACGAGAUUGUGCCUUAUCUCCUGCAGCUCCUCGUCUGCCCCUCUGCGUGGGGCAGGAGCAGGAGCUGUGGCAAUAUCGAGAAUCGGAGAACUUGUCACAGUUUGUGGCUUUCAGCAUAUUCUACUGAACUUAGCUAUGGCCACCUCAGUUAAGUAUGAUAAAAUCACUAUUGCCAAGACAAUGUUUAAUUAAAAAAAAUUUAUUUCACACUUCUAUACAAAUAUCCACAGGUCAUUUCUAAUCAUGGAAUGAUGUAGCAUUGUUAGCCAGUAUAAUGAAAAUUUGAGAUAAAAGUAUACCAGUGACAUGACUUAUUUUUCAAGAACUUUCACUUUAACACUGCUAAGACAUUCAUGUUCUUAGGUGAGGGCCAGAAUCUGCUUUUAGAUUCAGGGGUAUUUGUUAAGCUUCUUAUCCUCUGAUUAGCCUGGCUUCUGAUGUUGCUGAGCCUUUCAGCAAAUAAGCUAGAAUUUUAAAAGCUCAAACACUGGGUAACAUCAACAUUCAUAUGCAAAUGUUCAUAAAAUCAGUCAUAACAUAUUGAGAUUAUUUAGUGUUAAGGAAGAUGAGUGUAGUAAAUUAAUUGUAACUUUUUAGGUGACCACACCUUCGUACUAAUGUUCAAAGUUAGUAGUAAAAAUAAGACACUUGACAACUGCCCUCCUAGCAGGUUUUUACCCUAUAAGGGGAAAAAGUACCAAGAGGUUUUUGCAUAGUUCAAAUUACGAGCAAUUAAAUGCAUACUUUUUGAGCAGAAUUGUGUUUCACAUGGAAUAAACAGUUUUGAACUAAAUCUUUGUUCUUAAAUAGUACCAACACUUUAAAACAUGGGUAAAAAAGUAAACUCUUUAAAUAAUUUUAUCACUUAUGGUACAGUAACUAAAUUACUGAUAAACAACAUCAUGGUUCUACUUUAUCAACAUUCAGGUAUUCGAGAUGAUUCAGUAGUCUCAAUGUGGAUCAGCUCCAGAUCCACACAGUUAAGGUACACGAGGCAUCUACAGACUCCUUCAAGUGCUGUAUAACAGUUGCAGUAGUCAAUGCCUUUUGCCAAACAGGAAGUCCUUAUGAAGCUGGAAAGCUGGUUUUGAGAGAACUCACUUUCUUACAGCAAGUAUAAAACUCUAUCUAAACCCCUACUUCUGCUUGGUGUCCAAAUCCUUAAAUAGUCUGCAAUAAUAUACAAAUCAUGUUACAAGACCUGAUGUUACAACACAUAAACUUACAAGUAUCAGGAAAAGAAAGGCCCCAUACACAUUAUUAGCAUAAAUAUUUACAUUUUUAGAAAGUAUUGGCACCUUCAGUUACUUAUUAAAAUGCAGUGAAAGCCUCAGGUCUCAUAAUCUUAAGUUCAAAAACACAGUGGAUUUGAAAAUUCAUUUAAGUCUUUGGCCUAACAGUUAGUCAAAGACAAUGAUUUAUAACAAAAAUAAAUACAAAAAUGACUAAAAUAUAUAUAUACAAAAAGUACAUCUAAUAUUCAAGCCUCUCUUUUUAAAAAAAACCUGUGUAUAUUUGUUGUGAGCAAGAAUCACACAAUCUGAUCUUAAAAAAAAAAUUUAAAAAAUCAAGCAACAUGACCCAUUGCACAUGUAAUUUAAGAUGAUGCUUCUUGUUAAGCCCUAACUACUGCAGCAGGUAAAGGUUAUGACUAAAGCAAACUUGCAGGUCUUCAGUUAUACUUGAAGAAAGUGUGUUAAGGCCACUGUGUGUUUGUAAAGCACUAUGUAUUGAGGGAACAAUGGAGAACCUGUCUUGACGUUAAUCGUCCAUUCCUUACAUACCAGGAAGAAGGUCAGAAUCACAGGAAAAGGUCUGCUAUAGUGGUUUUGCAUAUUUUGCAGAAAAGACCCCAAAUCAACAUAGUAUUUUCUGAAGUGUGGGUUAGAUUUGAGGGGGGAAAGAGGCAGUCUGAAAAUUAAAUAAUGCAAAUAAAGUCUGUUGAAGCAAUUUUAACUGUGCAAAUAAAAGCCUCAGUAUAAGUAGUAAUAUCUACAAUCAAAUGGUGAAUGUCCAUAGUGUUCAUAGGUCUAACUCCAUCAGUAUUCCAUUAAUGAAAACCUUAACCUCUGUCUGAACUUUCUGGAUGGAGAACAUUUUUCCCUAAGAAUAACUUUCAUUUUCAUUCCAUUUUGUGAACCACUGUUUUGUCUCAUCUUUGAUCUGUCGCUCUUCUUUUCGAAUUCUUACAGCGUGAUAGCUGGGGACACUGUCUUCGUACCUGGAACGCUGGAAGAACCCACACUGGGGUAGAGGAGAAAAAGAACAGUUUAGGUUUAAGUUGCUGCCAAAGUACUACAAUCAUAGAGGCACUAAAUUCUUCCUUUGCACAAAUACAAAGGUAAGAAAAUUGAAAAGAAAAAUAUGUAAGCCAAAAAUGUAGCAUACGUAGCUGUAAAAAUGUGAGGCAGCAGGUCUACAUCAGUUAUUCCAGCAGCACUUGAAGACAAAUGGCACAGUCUGGCCAUAUGGUGGUAAUCUAAUACCUUAAAAAGAUUCCCUCCAGUACAAAGCUGUUCAGUCAUCUAAUGAGAGCAUUUACUGCUACACAAUGAAGUAGGUACAGUUCAGGAAAGCUGCUUCUCCUGAAUCAAAGGUAACUAUGUACUUCAGUGUCUUCCUGCAUGGUGACAUGAUUUACCCUUAAAAAUCUACAAAAAGACUUCCAGAACCUCCAAGAAAAGUUACACUAGGGCCUUGUUUUUCAAAGCACCAUCUCAACUAUAGUCAUCUGAACUAAUUACACAUAUGCAGUAUUAGAAACACAAGUCUUGCUUACUUUGCCAUGGGAAAUCACUCUAGAUGAAAUCCUGUACAGUUUAUUUUUGCUCUGGAAUUUCUUAUCCAAAGCCACUGUAAAAACUGAUUUUAAAUAUAGAGGAACAGAUUGAAAUUAAUUUUCAAAACAAAAUGGAGCUAUGGCCACCACGUUACUAAGCUCAUGAUUGGCAGACACUCAGCUGUACGUGCUUACAGAUCACUGAGGUAAGAUUAGGGUUAAGAGACAUUGUGCCAUCCAGCUGUCAUUAGGUACUGCUGGGGGUAAGAAAAGGUUAAAGUGGCAAGGUCUUUUUGUUCAUAGUGUUUAGAGUGCUGGGUUUUUUGAUUUUGUUUGGUUGGUGGUUUGAGGUUUUUUUAGUAUUAGAACUUACAUGGAACUGAAUUAAAAAAAUGUUAUAGUGAGCAUAGACCAAAUCUUCAGCGAUCUCAUAGUUAAGAUUUCAUUAAACACUGUUUUGACAUAAUUUAUUAAGAAUUCUUCCCCACCCUCUGAUCCCAAGCAUCACUUACUGAUAUAAUGUACAAGCAUGUGAUAUCUUAAUUUGAAUAAAGGUUUCUGGAAGCAUAAAGCAUCUAGUACCUUCAGCAAAGUGUGUUCCUAGAAAAGUGUACCUUAGAACUCAAGUAAAACAGAUGUUUCCAUGCAAUAAAUUCUCAUUAUGAAAACCCCUCUCAUUACAAGCAACGUGGACCUUUUAGCAUGCACUAAAGGUUAGUAAAGCAAGUUUAUAUAUCAUCCACGUUUAUAUAUCUUUACAUUUUAACUCUACAGUGUUGAUUACCAUCUUGCAAGCUUGAAGACUCACUUGUAGUGUUAAAACAUAAAUUUAAAAAAAGACUAAACCCCAUUGCAAAAGAACAAUAUGUUUUCUAAAGAAAUAAACAAGAAGUGUUUUAGACCAAGGUAAACACCUGUGUGUGUUCACAUGCACCAAAGGCUGAAAAUCUAUCAACAGCAUGAGCAAGCAAGUACAACAGUUUGAAAUCCAAAAGUUAAUAGAACAUAUGCAGAAAAAGCUUCACAGUUAGCCACCGCAACCAUAGCAUGUGCCACAGCUAAAAAUUAAAAAAUAUCAUCAGUUACCAAUUACAGAAGUAGAUCAAUACUAUGCAUCAGAAGUAAGCCUCUCUUUAUCAGAUGGCUGAGCAUGGAUCUCAGCCUUGUGAUAUGUGGCAUCGUAAUGAUCUUUCUUAUUUCUCUUGAAGAAACCACACUACAAGGAAGCAAGGUAUUUAGUCAAUUUUUGUGGACUGGAAGAUGUCAAACCUAUUAAAACUAACUUUAAUUAACUCUGUGAACUGUCUUCCUCUUAUCCCUCCACAGGCCAACCAACAACAAAAAAAAAAAUAACAAGAACUCAGCUGUUUCUAGAUCUGAGAACUUCUUGGACUAACUUGAUCUAUAAAGUAACAGAAUAACACAAGUUAUUAACAGAAUAACCUGACAAUAUUAUUUUAGAGGCAUUUUGGUAAAUUUGUAAUAGAUUGCUUGGAUUUUUUUAAGAAAAGGUACAAUAAAGUAUGUCCAAGAAGCCUAGAAAGCUGUUUGUGGACCAGUGCACAGGACAGACAAGAACAAAGGGUAGAACAAAACCAAUUACUGCUUUGACCUGUUCAACACAAGCUUUUACCUUAAAUUAAUUAUGUAUCUGUCUUUGCAGUAUAAUGUUUGUCCUUCAUAAUACAGCACAGUGUUUGUCAUCAAAAGCAGCAUUUUACACUGUGUGUGCGUGUAAAAAAUGCUUGUAUUUUCAUGUGAAGUAAAACACCAGUAGUUAUAACCUAACAGCCUACCUAAAGUAUUAAUUCAUCAGGAACAUAUGCAGGAGCAGCUGGGCAUUUAUUAGAAAAUGAGGAAGUCAUAACUAUCCUGUGAGAAGUAACCUGCAGCAAAUAGUAGUUCCUCAGUAAAGCUAAUUGCUGCAGUUUUGCUGGAAAAAAGUGACAGGAUAGUCUUCUUCACCUCUUCUUCCUUAAUAACCUUCUAAAAUAAUCCCAUAACAGCAAAUACUAACUGUCUGCCCUGUAAAAACUAAGAAUAAAAGCUGUUCUCUUAUA